GGAGGGGUCGCAUAAUGGUAGUGCAGCGGUCUUGAAAACCGCCGACCGAAAGGUUAUGCAGGUUCGAGUCCUGUCCCCUCCGCCA
rnacentral:tRNA from 1 species